AACAUUUUUAUAUCGUUGAAUUCUAACAGAUACAAAAUCAUUGACAUGUACUUUCGAAAUAAUUAACCACUAAUUACAAAUUAGAAUAAACUAAUACAGUACCAUGCAUGUACUAAUGCACAAUUUUCUCAUUAAGAUUACUAUAUGAAUUAUAUUAGAGCAUCAUUCAACGACGCGUUCUCAGCUUUCACACUGAUGAGGCAAUAUCCGCGGUGGAUUAUUACAAUUACAGAGGUCUGAACCCAAGACUGGUGUUGUCACGCGCCGUGUUAUUAAUCGAAUACCGCUCCGAGUGCACGGCGAGAAGAAGAGGAGGAACACAGUGAUACGUAUCAAGGUAUUCUCUCAAGAAACCAUUUGCGACGGAUCUGUUGAUUAUAGCCAAAGUGAUUGGAGGGCGGUAGCGGUACACUUUGAUGUUAGGUAUUUCUUACUGUAUACUAGAAUGGCAGCAAUGUAGGAUAUUGAUAUCAUAAACAUAAUAUUAAAAAUUACCUGAUUCGUACAGUAUAUUAGUAGGACUGUAAGAAAAUUCUGAAAUUCUAGGACAAUUAAAUUUAAAUAAUAUAAUAAUAAUUAGUAAUACACAGUAAGCAUUUGAUUUUCAAUUGAAAGUAAAUCUGUAAAACACUGGAGUGUCACAGGUUCUUAUACUAUAAUUCUUUUUAGAUACCAAUUUUAAGAAGGCGCUCACACGUCAGCAGCACACACCAACGAUUGGACCGGCGCCCAACGCAGUGUGCCAAGUGUCGAAAACAAAAUCCAAAAAGAAUUCCGUAAUGACUCUUAUAUCAUUAAAGCGACAGUGAUUUUUAUUUCAACAAUGCUUAAAAUCAACGGAUGGUAUGUUAAUAAUAAUAAAAAAAAAAAAUGAACGGUUAAAACAACGAAUAAAUUUAAUUACUUCCAUUUCUCUCUAAAUCAUUAAAAUUCAAACGUAUUUAAAAAAUGAAAAUUUUGAAUACAACAUUUAUCAGAGUGUUAUACUUUGUAUGGCGUUGGUGGCACCUAUUUUUAUCUACGAUGUUUUUGAAAGAUUAAAGAGGAAGUCUGGAUUAUUUCAUAGACGCUAAAUAAAGUAAUAGUUCAAAUUUCUACGCUGUAAACUAAAACAAUUAUUAAAAAAAUUUUAAUAACUAAUUCCGUAUAGUGAAUUAUUAACGUACGCAUAAUCAGAACACAAAGUUUAUGUUAAGGUCACUAUAUUCUAAAAUAAUAAUAAAAUAUCAAAAAAGUAAAUAUUUUAUCUAUUAUUAACACUUAAAAUAUAUCUUUAUUUACAAC